CUGGGAGGGGGUUCUGUUAAUGGAGUAGCGUCCGAGACUCCUUUCGGGGUUACACAGACUCUCCUACCGAACUCCUAUUCCGUCAAGUCCUCGUCGUACAGAGUGGUAACUUGCCACAUAUCCAAAGUUGGGUGCACGGGCUUGUCUCAACCCCUUGGGCGGACGGUGGAUCAAGGCUAAAUAGGAGGGU
rnacentral:ribozyme from 1 species